CGGUGCUUGAAAAUGCAAUCUAAGCUCUCUCUUUUUUUUUUUUUUUUUUAAUUAAACCAGUCCAACACCACGCUGAGGUGUACGAAUGUGUCCCUUGAAGACGUGCAGUCAUUCUUCCACGCUACUGAACGGCAGCAAAGCCUGACGCGGAAUUCAUGAGAGACGUCCUCCAGCUGAUGCACGUCUGGAAGUGAACAUAUGGUAAAUGCCCAAAUGGCUCUUGCUGACAGUGGUGCUGCUGGUAGGUGACCGCUGCCCACCCGUCCUCCAGGCAUUGCACACCUGGGGCCAUUGGGAACCACCAGCAGAGAGGCUGUGAGACCACCAGGUCCCCCUGCUGCCAUCACCAUUGCACCUCUCCUGCUCGCCCUGCACCUGGUUUCCUUAUUCGUGUUACAAUUAAGUCCUGCACUGAAUAUAUUAUUGCUUUGAGAAGAGCCGGGACGAUUCUUUGUGAAGGCGCCUUCUGGCUGCCCUGGGAGAGCUCCUCAGACAGCCCUGAGACAGGCUGGCAAGUCACAUAAACCUUAAGUACGUGCCUCUGAGAAUGGAAGAUUCCCUGGGAAGCCUCAAUCUCUCGUUGUGUUACGGCCUGAUUAUCAAACAGACAAUUUACAUCUUAUUAGGUGU
rnacentral:lncRNA from 1 species